AGAGUUUGAUCAUGGCUCAGAACGAACGCUGGCGGCAUGCCUAACACAUGCAAGUCGAACGAAGGCUUCGGCCUUAGUGGCGCACGGGUGAGUAACGCGUGGGAAUCUGCCUAUCAGUGGGGAAUAACGACGGGAAACUGUCGCUAAUACCGCAUACGCCCUUCGGGGGAAAGAUUUAUCGCUGAUAGAUGAGCCCGCGUACGAUUAGCUAGUUGGUGAGGUAAUGGCUCACCAAGGCUACGAUCGUUAGCUGGUCUGAGAGGAUGAUCAGCCACACUGGGACUGAGACACGGCCCAGACUCCUACGGGAGGCAGCAGUGGGGAAUAUUGGACAAUGGGCGAAAGCCUGAUCCAGCAAUGCCGCGUGAGUGAUGAAGGCCUUAGGGUUGUAAAGCUCUUUCGGGUGGGACGAUGAUGACGGUACCACCAGAAGAAGCCCCGGCUAACUUCGUGCCAGCAGCCGCGGUAAUACGAAGGGGGCUAGCGUUGUUCGGAAUUACUGGGCGUAAAGCGCACGCAGGCGGCUCGUUAAAUUAGAAGUGAAAGCCCCGGGCUUAACCUGGGAAUUGCUUUUAAGACUGGCGAGCUAGAAUCCAGAAGAGGGUAGUGGAAUUCCGAGUGUAGAGGUGAAAUUCGUAGAUAUUCGGAAGAACACCAGUGGCGAAGGCGACUACCUGGUCUGGCAUUGACGCUCAUGUGCGAAAGCGUGGGGAGCAAACAGGAUUAGAUACCCUAGUAGUCC
rnacentral:rRNA from 1 species